AGUGAACGCUGGCGGUAGGCCUAACACAUGCAAGUCGAACGGCAGCGCAGUAAGAGCUUGCUCUUACGGGUGGCGAGUGGCGGACGGGUGAGGAAUACAUCGGAAUCUACUUUUUCGUGGGGGAUAACGUAGGGAAACUUACGCUAAUACCGCAUACGACCUACGGGCGAAAGCAGGGGAUCUUCGGACCUUGCGCGAUUGAAUGAGCCGAUGUCGGAUUAGCUAGUUGGCGGGGUAAAGGCCCACCAAGGCGACGAUCCGUAGCUGGUCUGAGAGGAUGAUCAGCCACACUGGAACUGAGACACGGUCCAGACUCCGACGGGAGGCAGCAGUGGGGAAUAUUGGACAAUGGGCGCAAGCCUGAUCCAGCCAUACCGCGUGGGUGAAGAAGGCCUUCGGGUUGUAAAGCCCUUUUGUUGGGAAAGAAAAGCAGCAGGUUAAUACCCCGCUGUUCUGACGGUACCCAAAGAAUAAGCACCGGCUAACUUCGU
rnacentral:rRNA from 1 species